GUAAAAUUGUUUAUCAGGUGAAGAUCUAUCUGCCCUGAAAUUUUCAGAUGAAUCAGACAACCCCUUGUUUGGUUGCUGCCCCUGAAUUGGUAAUUCUAAGGAAAUUUUGCUGUUUUUGGUUAUUAUCUUGAUUAUUAUUAUAGUUAGAGAUAAACUGUAAACAGCAAUAAUGUUCAGCAAAGUAAGAUUUACAAAUAAGUCAACAUGACCGAAAUGGUCAAUUGACCCCCUAAGCAUUUCUAAGGAGUAAUUGUCCUUUAUAGUCAAUUUUUAACAAUUUUCAUAAAAUUUGUAAAUUUUUACUAACAUUUUCCACUGAAACUACUGGGCCAAGUUCAUUAUAGAUAGAGAUAAUUGUAAGCAGCAAGAAUGUUCAGUAAAGUAAGAUGUACAAACACAUCACCAUCACCAAAACACAAUUUUGUCAUGAAUCCAUCUGCUUCCUUUGUUUAAUAUUCACAUAGACCAAGGUGAGUGACACAGGCUCUUUAGAGCCUCUAGUUU
rnacentral:lncRNA from 1 species